UCCGGUUGAUCCUGCCGGACCCCACUGCUAUCGGGGAUAGGGACUAAGACAUGCUAGUCGUGUGCCUCAGCCAAAACGAGGCACGGCGCACAGCUCAGUAACGCGUGGCUAACCUGCCCUUAGGACGAGAAUAACCCCGGGAAACUGGGGCUAAUGCUCGAUAGGUGAAGAACUCUGGAAUGAGUCUUCACUUAAAAGAGUCUGCGUUAUGCUCGUAGAUUUCGCUUAAGGAUGGGGCCGCGACCGAUCAGGUUGUUGGUGAGGUAAUGGCUCACCAAGCCUUUUACCGGUGCGGGCCGUGAGAGCGGGAGCCCGGAGAUGGGCACUGAGACAAGGGCCCAGGCCCUACGGGGCGCAGCAGUCGCGAAAACUUUGCAAUACACGAAAGUGUGACGGGGCUAUCCCGAGUGCCAUCCGCUGAGGAAGGCUUUUACCCAGUCUAGGACGCUGGGGGAAUAAGGAGAGGGCAAGUCUGGUGUCAGCCGCCGCGGUAAUACCAGCUCUCCGAGUGGUGUGGAUGUUUAUUGGGCCUAAAGCAUCCGUAGCUGGCUAAGUUAGUCCCCUGUUAAAUCCAACGAAUUAAUCGUUGGAUCGCGGGGGAUACUGCUUGGCUAGGGGACGAGAGAGGCAGACGGUAUUUCCGGGGUAGGGGUGAAAUCCUAUAAUCCCGGGAAGACCACCAGUGGCGAAGGCUGUCUGCUAGAACGCGCCCGACGGUGAGGGAUGAAAGCUGGGGGAGCGAACCUGAUUAGAUACCCGGGUAGUCCCAGCUGUAAACGAUGCAGGCUAGGUGUUUGGACGGCCACGUGCCGUUCUAGUGCCGCAGGGAAGCUGUUAAGCCUGCCGCCUGGGGAGUACGAUCGCAAGAUUGAAACUUAAAAGGAAUUGGCGGGGGAGCACCACAAGGGGGUGAAACUUGCGGUUUAAUUGGGAUUCAACGCCGGG
rnacentral:rRNA from 1 species